GAUUCCCGACCAAGUAUUGAGUGCAUAACUGAACAUAAUUAUUUGAAGGUUGACUUUUUUUGUAUUAAAAACACUUUUCUUUUAUUGGUCGGAUGAAAUAUGCUAAUUUUUUGAGAUAGGAAUUUUCAUGAGCUGUAUGCCAAAAUCAUCAGUAUUAAAACAAUAAAAGACCUGAAAUAUUUCAGUUGGUGUGCAAUGAAUCUAAAAUAUAUGAAAGUUUAAUUUUUAUCAUUACAUUAUGGAAAAUAAUGAACUUUUUCACAAUAUGCUAAUUUUUUGAGAAGGACCUGUAUAUAAGAAAUGUUUGUAAAAUGGCAGUUUUUUAAAUAUCUGAAAGUACACUGUUAACAUCAAGUCAAGUCAAGCAUUAUAAUAAUCAGGUAUAUUUAAUAAUAGAAUUUAAGUAAUUAGAAAUAAACUUGAUAACCAUGUUUGAAUCGCAUAUUAGUCGUUUUAACUGAAACAUUUUAAACUGUCGUAAAGUAAAAAAAAAAAGUUAGGGAAAUAAAACUAAAAAAAAAUACUGAUAAGAUGAUAAUGAUACGAAUUCUACUAAUAAGAACUAUAAAACGCACUAAGGAUUACUAAGGAUUAAUAAACUGCUGGAUUCAUGAAUAUUAAUCAGGUUUUGUGCGAACUCGAACUGAUUUGCUGAAUUCAGAACAGGGACGAUAAUAGGUGAGUGCUAGCCAAUGAGAUUGCCUUUUGUGCAUUAGCUCCACCCAUUACCGGAAAACCCGGCAGUUCUUAAAAGCUGAAGAAUUCCAAAGGAACGUCGUUAUUUUGACAGGAAAAUACAACAAAGUAUAUCGUUUACAUGCAUCGCGUCAAUUCACUCUCUCUCUCGCUUUCUGUCUCUCUGCGUGUGUGUGAGACAAAGCGACGACGAGUCGUGCGCCUUCACACUGGAGUUUACGCUACGUCAAAUGCAGGGGCCUACACUCCUGUAAUAGAGGACAAGUUUUUCUUCUUUUCUUGAUUACGUGGGAAGGGAGGAGAGGAGACAAAGAUGCCAAAACCAGUAAGUAUUAGACAACAUACAUUUUCUUUACUUAAAGUGCCCAUAUUAUAAUUUUUUUAAAAGUUCCUAUUGUUGCUUUGGGAGUCUCCUACAAUUGGUUUACAUGCAUGCAAGGUCAAAAAACUUUUUUUAUUUUCUCAAAAUAUGCAUUUAAUAUCACCUAAUUUUCCAGCAAUUGUCAAAAGAUUAAUUCAUAGCAGUUCUAAUAUUCAGUCUCUCUAAACCCCUCCUUUCCUUGAGCCU
rnacentral:lncRNA from 1 species